rnacentral:lncRNA from 1 species
CACCAUCAAUGUCGUCUCUUGAGAAUUGCCAUUACGAAAAACAUCCACUUGUUAUUCAAACACAUGAAGAAUUUCCAGCAACUGUACUGCACAAAGACAUGGAAGACAACAUAUGACCAAAGAAAUAGAAAAAAAGGAAGUAAGAAUUCCGUAAACAAUGUAUUAGGCAAAGAUGAAGACGCUGCAAGACAAACAAGAGUUAAAUUUUUUUGGAAAAAACACACAAAUUACUUUGAUAAAACAAAUCAAAACUCUUACGAAUCAGAAUUUUUAGAGUUUUAGGAAAAU